AACGCAUCUUGCGCCCCUUGGUAUUCCGAGGAGCAUGCCUGUUUCAGUGUCACGUAAACCCUCACACUUGCGAUGUAACAGUUUCAAGUUGUGGACUUGGACUGUGCCGUAGUUGGCUCGUCCUGAAAUGCAUUAGCUUGCGCUUAUUAGAGUGCCUGGCAUUGGUGUGAUAAUUAUCUGCGCCUUCGCCUAAUGCCUCUUCCGAAGUGUGGCUUCUAAUCGUCCUAAUGGACAACAUUUCAAACUUUUGGCCUGAAAUCAGGUAGGACUACCCGCUGAACUUAA
rnacentral:misc_RNA from 1 species